UGGUAACUGUUCUCUAAUAUAACUCGUGCCAAUAAAAGAAACUAAUCGAAAAGAAUGGUGUUAAUCAUUCGCUCUCGCUUACACACACA